rnacentral:lncRNA from 1 species
AUGGGUAUCAUGACACCACAAGAGAAACAUCCUCACUGGGAGUCAAAGCACAGGUUAUGGACAAGAAGGCCAGGUCUGAAUGAAACAGAUGUCAUCCUUCCAGACAAAACAAGAACCCGCACACUGUCCUUUGCACCUCUGAGGUGGAUGCUUCUAAUAUGGAAGGAACAUCAUGCAGUCCACAAGAACAACAGCUCUGUCCAUUGGCAAAAUGGGCAUCACGGAAUUCAGCAGAGAAGCCAUUCUAUAUGGACUGAGAGUUAGUGUACAAAGUUUCCUGAUGGAAUUUAACAUUCAGUUCCUAUAAAGAAGAAAAUGGGCAACAUGGAGCAUCUCUAAUUCAUCUCCUGAAGAGCUUGGAAGAAACUCAUUUACUUUUCAGUACCUCUAACUGAAAAGUAU